rnacentral:misc_RNA from 1 species
AACGCACGAGACCUGCGGACCUGCGGAAGGAUCAUUAACAAAUCUGAGUUGUGGGUGUGUGGUGCGUGCAUGUGUAUGCGUCAAGUGUACACCGUGCACAAUCCGCUCGCCUACACAUUUACCCCGAGCCGGUCUAAACAGCCGGCUUUGGUUUGAGCCUUUGGGCUCAGGCGAUGGCUGUACGGGUGUAGGGAGGGGGGGAGGGGGGAGAGCAGCGCUGCUGCCUUUCCCUCUCUCUCU